CCUACGGGUGGCAGCAGUGAGGAAUAUUGGUCAAUGGACGAGAGUCUGAACCAGCCAAGUAGCGUGAAGUAUGACUGCCCUAUGGGUUGUAAACUUCUUUUAUAUGGGAAUAAAAUGUUCCACGUGUGGGAUUUUGUAUGUACCAUAUGAAUAAGGAUCGGCUAACUCCGUGCCAGCAGCCGCGGUAAUACGGAGGAUCCGAGCGUUAUCCGGAUUUAUUGGGGUUAAAGGGAGCGUAGGUGGAUUGUUAAGUCAGUUGUGAAAGUUUGCGGCUCAACCGUAAAAUUGCAGUUGAAUCUGGCAGUCUUGAGUACAGUAGAGGUGGGCGGAAUUCGUGGUGUAGCGGUGAAAUGCUUAGAUAUCACGAAGAACUCCGAUUGCGAAGGCAGCUUACUGGACUGCAACUGACACUGAGGCUCGAAAGUGUGGGUAUCAAACAGGAUUAGAUACCCUUGUAGUC
rnacentral:rRNA from 1 species